ensembl:lncRNA
GUUGGUCCAAGUGCAAGCUGGUGAGUUUUUUGCCAAACACAAAGAACAUGGAUUCCAAAGACCAUGACUGGAAUUCUGAUGAAACAUAAACAUGGUGCCAAGAAAGCAUGGGGUGCAGAGGGGAGAGUGGAUUGAGGAGGAACAAUUCCCCCAUAAAUAAGGAGCUGCAGUCUGUCGAGCCAACGUGGUAUGUUAGAAAGGACACUGGGUAAGAACCAGAGGACAUGGAUGUAAAACCCUGACUCUUCUAUACUAUAGUGACAUGGUCUUGAGCAACUGACUUUACCUCUCUGAGCCUCAGUUUCAUCAUCUAUAAAAUGAGGAGAGUUUUACUUGUAUCUCUCAAAGCUAUUAAGUUUCUAUAGAAAUAGGGCUGUUUGGAUUAUCUAUUUCUCCUUGAGUGUGCUUUGGAACUUUGUAUUUUUCCAGGAAUUUGUCUAUUUCAUUUAAAUUGUUGAAUGCAUCAGCAUAAAGUUGUUCAUAUGAUUCUGUUAUUAGCCUUUUAAUAUCUACAGGGUCUAUCAUGAUGUCAUCUCUCUCAUUUCUGACACCAGGCUGGGCUACUGAAUUUUAUAUGGUAUAAUAAAUUUCUGGCAUCUGACAGGUGCUAAAUCAAUGUUUCCUGGGUGGAAUCUACAGUCUCAAGGAGUCAAGUCUAUGGUUCAUAAACUGCUUCAGAAUACUGGUUCAUUAGUUCAUCCAUGCCCUAUAUCAUUCUAUCUAUCCAUCUUUCUCCUCCUCAGCCAAAUUUUCAUCCAUCCAACUGGUAGUUGGACAAAAGAAUAUAAAGAAAAAAAUAGAAAUGUGCUUCAGAUUCACCAGUGGGAGAGCAAUUUAGAUAUUUUAAGAGACGAUGAGAUUUUUAAAAAGAUGUAAUAAGUGUGGGUCAUGGUUUCUUGGAAGUACAGAAAGCCUUAGAGUUCCUUGGAAGCUUGAGACACAAAUGCUUAAGCUCAAUGAAAACGGAAGUAUCUUGAACUUAAUAUUUAAAGAAAAAAUGACUAGGACCUGCUCCUCUGCCUUUCUGUCACUAGAAGACAAAUAUACAGGAAAUUUAUCUGAUCCAAAACAAUUUGACUUCUAGCCAAAGGGCUCUGUCUAGCUAGAGUGAUGAGCAAACGACUUGCUGGGUCAGUAUGUUGGAUGUAGAUAUGCUUAGAACAAAAUAACCUCCAGAUCGAGGUUCAUGGCCCACCAAUAUUUAUGGAGAAAAACUGAGUUUUCCUUUACUUAGAUCUUGCUUAGGAAAGGAGAAAAAGGCUUUCUUCUCUGAGCUCUCUGUUUAAAGAGGAAAGAGACUAAGGCAGAACUGUUAGCACAGCAAGUGGAGUAUCCAUGCUCAAUGCUCAAUGCUUUGGUUUUUAAAACUUAGCUGGCUGUCAGACCUAUUAAUUCAGCUGUUUUCCAACCUAAAAAUGAUACUCAGGCUGGGCAAGAAAAGAUGGUCAUUUCAUUUUAAACAGACUCAUGACUUUCCUGUUCUCUGCCAUGAGUGUCCAACAUUUGGCUUGGCUGGGCCACCCUGAAUGAAGAGGAAUUGUCUUGGGCCACAUAAAAAUAUUAAAUAUAGUUGGUGUGUAUAAGGAACAAAACUUUUUUGUUUUUAUAUCUGUUAUGCCUGAGGCCUGCAGGUUGGACAUGGCUGCAUGUGUUUCUAUAGAGCAAUGCUACGAAUCCCGAUUCUACCACUUAUUGGCCGUAUUGCCUUGGGAAGGAAUAGUUCUCUCCAAACCCAUUUUCCUUUGUACCUAUGAACUGGAGAUAAAGUAUUUAACCCAGAGGACUACUAUGAAAUUUGAAGCCUACCUAGCCCAGGGCUUGGCAAUAAAUGCUAGCUGCCAUUUUAUUAUUCCUGCAAGAUCCUCACUUGUCCUCUUUUUCAUCUGCCACAUAGCUAGGCUAAGCCCUGAAGACCAACUGCCUUUUGCAUUUUUAAAAACUUGUUUUAACUGCAAAGAACAGAAUCUGAUCACAGAAGAACUAUCCCUGACUUUCCAUUGAUUCUCAGGUUUAGGGAGCAAGAGCAAUUAUGGAGUCAAAUUACAAUAAUCUUUGGUACAACCUAGUCAUGGUUCCCCUAGCUGAAGGAAGAGAUAUUAGAAGAAAAUAAAAAGAUACUUGUCU